GACGAACGCUGGCGGCGUGCCUAAUACAUGCAAGUCGAACGCUGAAGAGAGGAGCUUGCUCUUCUUGGAUGAGUUGCGAACGGGUGAGUAACGCGUAGGUAACCUGCCUUGUAGCGGGGGAUAACUAUUGGAAACGAUAGCUAAUACCGCAUAACAAUGGAUGACACAUGUCAUUUAUUUGAAAGGGGCAAUUGCUCCACUACAAGAUGGACCUGCGUUGUAUUAGCUAGUAGGUGAGGUAAUGGCUCACCUAGGCGACGAUACAUAGCCGACCUGAGAGGGUGAUCGGCCACACUGGGACUGAGACACGGCCCAGACUCCUACGGGAGGCAGCAGUAGGGAAUCUUCGGCAAUGGGGGCAACCCUGACCGAGCAACGCCGCGUGAGUGAAGAAGGUUUUCGGAUCGUAAAGCUCUGUUGUAGGUCAAGAACGGGUGUGAGAGUGGAAAGUUCACACUGUGACGGUAGCUUACCAGAAAGGGACGGCUAACUACGUG
rnacentral:rRNA from 1 species